GAGGUUGUGGCUCAGCGGUAGAGCACUUGCCUUGCAUGUGAAGCACUAGGUUCGAUCCUCAGCAUCA
rnacentral:tRNA from 1 species